rnacentral:rRNA from 1 species
UACAGAGGUGGCAAGCGUUGUUCGGAAUUACUGGGCGUAAAGGGCGCGUAGGCGGCUUGGUCAGUCCCGUGUGAAAUCCCUCGGCUCAACUGAGGAACUGCACGGGAAACUGCCUGGCUUGAGUUCGGGAGAGGGAAGCGGAAUUCCGGGUGUAGCGGUGAAAUGCGUAGAUAUCGGAAGGAACACCAGUGGCGAAAGCGGCUUCCUGGUCCAGCACCGACGUUCAGGCACGAAAGCGUGGAGAGCAAACAGG